CUUUAAAAGGAGCGCGGAGAAGUGCAAGGAGAAGUUUGAAGAGGAAAGCAGGUACUUCAACAACAUCAACUUCAAUAAGAACUUCAGGUUUCUCAGUGAGCUUGAGCAGCUCUAUCAACCACCACCAGUCGAGCCACCUCAGAACCCAGCUGAGGAUCAACCAGAAAAGAAUGUUACCCAAAAGGAAUUAGCAGUAGAAGUUGAAAAGCCAAGUGAAGAACUAGGAGAUCACCAAGAUAAAAGUCAUCAACCAGCUUCUGAUGCUCAAGAGACGUCACCAAGCAAUGAUCAAACGGUGAGUGAGAAAGGGAUGGAAGUUGU
rnacentral:lncRNA from 1 species